GAUCCUGCCAGUAGUCAUAUGCUUGUCUCAAAGAUUAAGCCAUGCAUGUCUCAGUACAAACCAAAUUAAGGUGAAACCGCGAAAGGCUCAUUAAAUCAGUUAUGGUUUCUUAGAUCGUACCCACAUUUACUUGGAUAACUGUGGUAAUUCUAGAGCUAAUACAUGCAAACAGAGCCCCGACCGGAGACGGAAGGGGUGCUUUUAUUAGAUCAAAACCAAUCGGCGGCAGUGGCGUUUCGGCGUUGCUGUUCGUCGCACUGUUUGGUGAUUCUGAAUAACUUUUGGCUGAUCGCACGGUCUCGCACCGGCGACGCAUCUUUCAAAUGUCUGCCUUAUCAACUGUCGAUGGUAGGUUCUGCGCCUACCAUGGUUGUAACGGGUAACGGGGAAUCAGGGUUCGAUUCCGGAGAGGGAGCCUGAGAAACGGCUACCACAUCCAAGGAAGGCAGCAGGCGCGCAAAUUACCCACUCCCAGCACGGGGAGGUAGUGACGAAAAAUAACGAUAUGGGACUCAUCCGAGGCCCCAUAAUCGGAAUGAGUACACUUUAAAUCCUUUAAC
rnacentral:rRNA from 1 species